GCUGUAGUUUACGUGGAUAAAACAGUUGGCUUGCACCCAGCAGAACCGAGUUCGAUUCUCGGUGGC
rnacentral:tRNA from 1 species